CCAUCGGUUGCAGGUAUUAUCAACCCUAGUUCUGAGGGAUUUCAGAAACUCUUCUUUGGCCAGGAGGAAAUUGCUAUCCCAGUUCAUUCGACCACUGAAGCAGCAUGUGCGGUACAUCCUACUGCUGAUGGGUCCAUCAACUUUGCUUCAUUCAGAAGUGCUGCUGCUUCAUCACUGGCUGCUCUAAAACAGCAAACUAUAAGAGUUGUAGCCAUUAUUGCUGAAGGUGUUCCAGAGUAAGACACCAAACAGUUAAUUGCAUAUGCUCGUGCAAACAAUAAGGUGAGAAGAACGCUAGCUAU